AAGUCGUAACAAGGUCUCCGUAGGUGAACCUGCGGAGGGAUCAUUAAUAGUAGCCAGCCCGCCAUCAUGUGAGGAUUCCCCAAAACAUGUUGUGUGGGUUAGUAUAACAUUUGUGUUUAGGGGGGUAAUCAUCUCCCUAAUAUUUCAUACUUCACAAAGCCCUAAUACGCUUUGGCCAAACAAACAAACAAACUUACAGGAACGAAAACAAACAACACACCCCAUUGGAUACCUUGGUUCCCAC
rnacentral:misc_RNA from 1 species